rnacentral:rRNA from 1 species
UCUGGUUGAUCCUGCCGGACCUGACUGCUAUCGGAUUGGUACUAAGCCAUGCGAGUCAUUGUAGCAAUACAAGGCGGACGGCUCAGUAACACGUAGUCAACCUAACUCGUGGACGUGGAUAACCUCGGGAAACUGAGAAUAAACCACGAUAGAUCAUAAUGCCUGGAAUGGCUUAUGGUCCAAACAGUUUACUGCCAUGGGAUGGGACUGCGGCCUAUCAGCUUGUUGGUGAGGUAAUGGCCCACCAAGGCGAUUACAGGUACGGGCUCUGAGAGGAGAAGCCCGGAGAUGGGUACUGAGACACGGACCCAGGCCCUAUGGGGCGCAGCAGGCGAGAAACCUUAGCAAUGUGCGAAAGCACGACUGGGUCAGUCCGAGUGAUUCCUGAUAAAGGAGUCUUUUGCUUGUCCUAAAAGCACAGGUGAAUAAGGGGUGGGCAAGUCUGGUGUCAGCCGCCGCGGUAAUACCAGCACCUCGAGUGGUCAGGACGUUUAUUGGGCCUAAAGCAUCCGUAGCCGGCUUUGCAAGUCUUCGGUUAAAUCCACCUGCUCAACAGAUGGGCCGCUGGAGAUACUACAAAGCUAGGGAGUGGGAGAGGCAGACGGUAUUCAGUGGGUAGGGGUAAAAUCCUCUGAUCCAUUGAGGACCACCAGUGGCGAAGGCGGUCUGCCAGAACACGUUCGACGGUGAGGGAUGAAAGCUGGGGGAGCAAACCGGAUUAGAUACCCGGGUAGUCCCAGCUGUAAACGAUGCAAACUCGGUGAUGCAUUGGCUUAUGGCCAAUGCAGUGCCGCAGGGAAGCCGUUAAGUUUGCCGCCUGGGAAGUACGGACGCAAGUCUGAAACUUAAAGGAAUUGGCGGGGGAGCACCACAAGGGGUGAAGCCUGCGGUUCAAUUGGAUUCAACGCCGGA